rnacentral:rRNA from 1 species
AUUGAACGCUGGCGGCAUGCUUUACACAUGCCAGUCGAACGGUAACAGGCCGCAAGGUGCUGACGAGUGGCGAACGGGUGAGUAAUGCAUCGGAACGUGCCCAGUCGUGGGGGAUAACUACUCGAAAGAGUAGCUAAUACCGCAUACGAUCUAUGGAUGAAAGCGGGGGACCGUAAGGCCUCGCGCGAUUGGAGCGGCCGAUGUCAGAUUAGGUAGUUGGUGGGAUAAAGGCUCACCAAGCCAACGAUCUGUAGCUGGUCUGAGAGGACGACCAGCCACACUGGGACUGAGACACGGCCCAGACUCCUACGGGAGGCAGCAGUGGGGAAUUUUGGACAAUGGGCGCAAGCCUGAUCCAGCAAUGCCGCGUGCAGGAAGAAGGCCUUCGGGUUGUAAACUGCUUUUGUACGGAACGAAACGGCUCUGGUUAAUACCCGGGGCUAAUGACGGUACCGUAAGAAUAAGCACCGGCUAACUACGUG